rnacentral:rRNA from 1 species
CCUGCCAGUAGCAUAUGCUUGUCUCUGAGACUAAGCCAUGCAUGUCUAAGUAUAGACAAAUUUGUACUGUGAAACUGCGGACGGCUCAUUAAAUCAGUUACAAUCUACUUGAUCGUAAAUUCUUAUUCGGAUAACCUUAGUAAUUCUAGAGCUAAUACGUGCAAAAAGCCUUGACUCCUAGCAAUGGGGGAAUGGGUGUAUUUAUUAGGUAAAAAACCAAUCAUCCUUCGGGGUGAGCUUGUGAUGAUUCAUAAUAACUAAGCAGAUCGCAGACCAAUGUCUGUGACAAUACAAACGAGUUUCUGACCUAUCAACUUUAGAUGGCAGGAUAGAGGCUUGCCAUGGUGACAACGGGGGACGGAGAAUUAGGGUUCGAUUCCGGAGAGGGAGUCUGAGAAACGGCUACCACUUCCAAGGAAGGCAGCAGGCGCGCAAAUUACCCAAUACUGAUUCGGUGAGGUAGUGACAAGAAAUACCAAUGUAGGACCCAACGGGUACUACGUUUGGAAUGAGUACAAUUUAAAAACCUUAACGAGGAACAAUUGGAGGGCAAGUCUGGUGCCAGCAGCCGCGGUAAUUCCAGCUCCAAUAGUGUAUAUUAAAGUUGCUGCGGUUAAAAAGCUCGUAGUUGGAUUACGGAGAAGGCUAGCUUUGCUGUUUGGUUGGUUCUUUCUGUCUUCUAAGGCAGGAGGGGUCUCUGGAUGGUGACUGGUCUACUGCUUUCAUCAUGGUCUACCAUGAUCUUUCAUGGUUUGUACUGGGUGUCAGCCUCCUAUCUUCUGAUGGCAUGGGGUGUUUCUUCUUUGGUGGCAACAUCAAAGAGGGAGUGCUCACUAAAAAAACAUGUUUUCGGAUAGUUUACUUUGAAAAAAUUAGAGUGUUUAAAGCAGGCGUAACAUGGCGACAUGAAUAUAUUAGCAUGGGAUAAUAUAAUAUGACCACUGGUCUUAUUUUGUUGGUUUCUAAGGCUGGGGUAAUGAUUAAGAGGGAUAGUUGGGGCUGCUUGUAUUGAGUCGUCAGAGGUGAAAUUCUAGGAUUGACUCAAGACAAACUAAUGCGAAAGCAUUCAGCAAGGAUGUUUUCAUUAAUCAAAAUCGAAAGUUGCGGGAUCGAAGAUGAUCAGAUACCGUCGUAGUCGUAACUAUAAACUAUGUCAAC